ACCUGAAACCCUGUGCUUACAAGCACUUAGAGCACGUCAAAGUGUGAUAAGGUACCUAUUGUAGAAUGGUCCGGCGAGUUAUUGUAUGCAGCGAGGUUAAGUAGUUCAGCUACGGAGCCGAAGUGAGAGCGAGUGUUAACAGCACGUUCAGUUGCAUGCAAUAGACCCGAAACCGGGUGACCUAUCCAUGUCCAGGAUGAAGUGAGGGUAAAACCUCAUGGAGGUCCGAACCCACUCCCGUUGAAAUGGUAGGGGAUGAGGUGUGGAUAGCGGAGAAAUUCCAAUCGAACCCGGAUAUAGCUGGUUCUCCCCGAAAUAGUUUUAGGACUAGCCUCGUGAUUAAGAUUAUCGGAGGUAAAGCACUGAAUGGCCUAGGGGUCGAGAGAUUACCGAAGCCUAUCAAACUCUGAAUGCCGAAUAAUCAUGCACGGGAGUCAGACUGUGUGAGAUAAGUUUCAUAGUCGAAAGGGAAACAGCCCAGACCUACAGCUAAGGUCCCAAAGUACGUUUAAGUGGAAAACGAUGUGAAAUUGCGUAGACAACCAGGAUGUUGGCUUAGAAGCAGCCAUACAUUAAAAGAGUGCGUAAUAGCUCACUGGUCGAGUGACUUUGCGCGGAAAAUUUAACGGGGCUAAAACGUACACCGAAGCUUAGGCUUGCAACAAUGUUGCAGGGGUAGGGGAGCGUUGAAUGAGGGGUGAAGUCGUAGCGAAAGCGACGGUGGACUUCAUUCAAGUGAGAAUGCCGGAAUGAGUAGCGAGAAUUAUGUGAGAAUCAUAAUGGCCGAAAGCCUAAGGUUUUUGGAGGAAGGUUCGUCCGCUCCAAGUAAGUCGGAAGCUAAGGUGAGGCUGAAAAGCGUAGCCGAUGCACAAACGGUUGAAAUUCCGUUACCACAGAAAGAUUUAAACUAAGGGACACUUUUGAAGAGCUGAUGCCGGGUGUUGGUUACCCCGGUCGUAAGGGAACGAAAUUAAGUAGUGAAGUCAGCGUGGAUGAAGGCGAGAAAAGCUUAGUGUAUAUCUUAUGUGUCCGUACCGCAAACCGACACAGGUAGGUAGGAAGAGAAUUCUAAGGCCAACGGGAGAAGGGUAGUUAAGGAACUCGGCAAAAUGUCCCCGUAACUUCGGAAUAAGGGGAGGUUUCUACGGAAACCCGCAGAGAAUAGUCCCAGGCAACUGUUUAUCAAAAACACAGCUCUAUGCUAAAUCGAAAGAUGACGUAUAUGGGGUGACGCCUGCCCGGUGCCGGAAGGUUAAGAGGAGGAGUGAGAGCCCUGAAUCGAAGCCCCGGUAAACGGCGGCCGUAACUAUAACGGUCCUAAGGUAGCGAAAUUCCUUGUCAGGUAAGUUCUGACCCGCACGAAUGGCGUAAUGAUUUGGGCACUGUCUCAACAGCCCGCCCGGCGAAAUUGUAGUACCGGUGAAGAUGCCGGUUACCCGCGACUAGACGGAAAGACCCCAUGGAGCUUUACUGUAGCUUAAUAUUGGAUUUCGGCAUUUCAUGUACAGGAUAGGUGGGAGACUAGGAAACAUAGGCGUCAGCUUAUGCGGAGUCGUCCUUGGGAUACCACUCUUGGAGUGCUGAAAUUCUAACCUGCAGCCCUGAAUCGGGUUGGGGGACAUUGUUAGGUGGGCAGUUUGACUGGGGCGGUCGCCUCCAAAAAGGUAACGGAGGCGCUCAAAGGUUGGCUCAGCAUGGAUGGAAACCAUGCCAUAGAGUGCAAACGCAAAAGCCAGCCUGACUGCGAGACUGACGGGUCGAGCAGAAACGAAAGUUGGAGUUAGUGAUCCGGCGGUAUGUGAAUGGAAAUGCCGUCGCUCAACGGAUAAAAGCUACCCUGGGGAUAACAGGCUGAUCUCCCCCAAGCGUCCACAGCGACGGGGAGGUUUGGCACCUCGAUGUCGGCUCGUCACAUCCUGGGGCUGAAUUCGGUCCCAAGGGUUCGGCUGUUCGCCGAUUAAAGUGGCACGCGAGCUGGGUUCAGAACGUCGUGAGACAGUUCGGUCCCUAUCUGUCGUGGGCGAAGGAUAUUUGAAAGGAGCUGUCCCUAGUACGAGAGGACCGGGAUGGACGCACCUCUGGUGCACCAGUUGUCACGCCAGUGGCACAGCUGGGCAGCUAAGUGCGGAUCGGAUAAACGCUGAAAGCAUCUAAGCGUGAAGCCGUCCUUAAGAUAAGAUAUCCCACUUUUAAGUUAAGACCCCUUGU
rnacentral:rRNA from 1 species